rnacentral:lncRNA from 1 species
AUAGAAAAUACAAAAAAUCUAUCUUUAUAAAAUAAUUUUUUUUUAAAAACAUCUAACUUAAUAAAACAGAGAAAAUAUUCAUUUCCAUUUCGGAUAACGUCUUCCUCAGCUCUUUUUUCUCUUUGUGGGGUUUUGAGUUUUUAAGUACAUACCUUUUAUAAAAAGACAAUAUCAUUGAUAAUGAAGUCCAGAGGUUUCUAAAAAAUAUGAAUCCGGAGCUAUUUUAUUAAUUUUUUUUAAGGCUGUAUAACCUUCUUACAAUUAAUAAUUCACUAGCCAUCUAAAUACCCUAACUCAUCGAUACACCGCUUCUCUUUUAUAAAUAAUAGUCAUAUUGCCCUCAUGAAUAGCCGG